GCCUGGACUAGGCCGGGGGGGUAGCGGUCCCCUGUAACCGGCAAUCCGCUAAGCCGGGGCCGAAAACCCGGAAGCGGCCUAUGAGCUGUAGGUUCCCAUUCCGUGAUCGCAGACGAUGAGGUCUCGUCCUCCGGGACCGAGGGUGUCCGGUUCGCGGGUGUAAGCCCGCGGAUACGGACUUUGCCGUGGGAAAUGGGCCAGGCCCGGGAGGGAGCAACCCUACCACGGACCGUCGGUGCUCGGAGGGGUGCGGGGCUGAGAAUGCGACACGGGUAUGGCCCUACAGCUCUAGGCCCAUUCCGGGCCCGUCCAGGC
rnacentral:SRP_RNA from 1 species